CUGCCGUUCCAGCUCCUUAGCUUCCUCAGGGUUGACACGGUAAGCGGCUCGGUUUGGUAGUGGCGCGCCGGGUACAAGAUCGAUCUGAUGUUCUAUGCCACGGAUAGGGGGUAAACCGGCAGGGAUCUCGUCAGGGAAGACAUCCUUGUAACGUCCCAUGAGGUCUUGUACUACGUCCGGUACUUCAGGAGCUUCUAAACCUGCAAAACAACCUUCCUUAAAGAUCAUUAGUAGCACCUGUGUCUCACGUUGUAAUGAUUUAAGCACUUGUCCGGAAGUCAUGUAAAGGUUAGUGUUACUUACCUGGCCGGACUGCGUCAUUGCCUUCUGCAUAUCAUGAACUUCUUGAGGGCUGAGAGGUGCUAGGCUGUGCUUCUUG
rnacentral:lncRNA from 1 species